rnacentral:lncRNA from 1 species
CUCAGCGCUCCGCUCACUCACUCUCCAGGACCUGCAGGAAGUAGGGAUACUUUCCUCUCAAGUUUACGUCUCAUUCAUUCUUCCUCUGGACAAUUCAGGUCCAUUCACAGCUGCGGCAGACGUGCGCGCGCGCGCGCGCACCUAUACCCUUAAAGAAACUCGAGUCACAGAAGCCAGAAAGCCAGCUUCCAAGCGGGGCAGCGGGGGUCUCACUCCUUUUUCCUCCUCUUUUUGCAAAUCCUCAGACUCCAGGGAGGGUAGGCUGUGCACUAGGGUGAGAAUGUGGGUGGUACAUGAAGCGGAAGUUAACCUUGCACAGUCUGUGGAGACGGCGGGACUCCUCACCUUCAUCCAGCCUCCUCGGUUUUCCUCUCUGGCCCAGCGUGGAGGAGGGGACGUGAAAGGCAAGAGAGGCAGGAAACAGAGACUCCGCAGUGGCCGGGCGAUGAGGGGGUGCGUGUCUGGGAGCCGCAAGGAAAGAGUGAAGAAGCUGUAUCGCACUGGGCCAGAGGCCCUCUCCUCUUGGGCUGCGCGUAGCUAGAGGUGCAGGAGGGCGGCCAGGAGUGGGACCCCGCUACGUGUCGCUCCUCCGCGCGCCACCUGCCAUCGCCCCCCGCGCCCUCGGGCCGUUGCCCCCAGCCGAGCCUGGGGCCGCGCCUUCGGGCCGGUACUUGAGCCAGCAGAUGACCCAAGUGACGACGACCGAGAAGAGCGCCAGGAUGCUGGCCACCGACAGGCAAAUGGGCCCCACCGGCGAAGGCGAGGGCGAACCGGCUGCAGGGGCUGCGCCAGGGGGCGCCCCGCCUCCGGGGGGUGCCCCGGCCCCGCCGCCGCCGUAGUGGUUGACGAAGAUGAGGCCGGUGAAGAGCAGCACCACCAUGGAGAGGAAGGAGAAGACGACACAGACGCAGCCUGCGGAGCUCACCGGUGAUGUAAUGCGGACCCGCACAGGGAGGCGAAGCAGCAGCCUCAGCAGUGGCGGCAGCGGUGGUUCUAGUCUUCGUGAAAAUCGUGAUCUCAUUUCUCUGUCCAAGGGCGAAGGCCGGUCGUCACCAAGACAUUUGCACUUUCUGUUUUUAUUAGCAAAGCCCAGCUGCUUUGGCAGCCCGGCAGCGUUCUUCUCAGGGUGGAAGCCGAGGGAUGGCAUCUUCCUUUCACCAUUUGGAAGAAAUUUUGGAAUGAACAAUAUACCUUUUCUCCCUCUGAAAUACUGCUUCCUGAGCUUUAAGGAGGCAUAGCCAGAUCUUGCUGAUUUCCUGACGCUGACCACACGGGAUGGAG